CGCGGGGUAGAGCAGCCCGGUAGCUCGUCAGGCUCAUAACCUGAAGGUCAUAGGUUCAAAUCCUAUCCCCGCAA
rnacentral:tRNA from 1 species